rnacentral:lncRNA from 1 species
UAGAGAUAAGAUUCAAAAUCAGAAAAAUAGUGUAGUAAAAUUAGUUCUGUAUAGAGACAACAGCAGGUACGUGAAUGAGUGUUAAGGAAGGCUUACACAGAAGCAGUAGUUGACAUCAGAUUGUGCACAAGUAAGCCUUGGGCAAGGCUUGCACCCUAGCUACGGGAUCAGAUAUAGAUUUUUCAAAAUCUAUCAAAAUAAAAAGAAAGGAGAAAAUAAUAAAACAAAUAAAAAGGAGUCUUU